UAGGGGGUGACAGGUCACAUCGUCGGAAGCACGGCGGGUGUCCGAAGUAUGUGAUACUGCGGCGCCUACACAUAAGCAGAAGCAGUCCUCCAGCCUUUGCCUCCCAGUAACGAUUGGAUUACAGACGCACGCCACCGCGCCCGGCGAGAACGAAAGAAGAUUUUUGAGCAUUUGAGUUGAACAACUGAGUGACGUCACUCAAUAGUAUCUUUUCCGGCUUCACGCUACGCAAGACCUGCUCAUGCGCGAGCCCAGUAUCCACAUAGGCGGAUCGGCUGAUUUUUUCAAAGCCUGGCAGCUGCGGAGACCUUGCCCAGUCCAGCAGGGGGUUAAAAAGGUGAGCUCAGCUCUACAUCGCAAUUAUGUCCUGCGCUGUACUCGCAAUCGCUAAUUUUGGCCAACCUGGAGCAAGUUCAGCCCACAGUAAUGUGGGAUUUUUCCAGCCCUACCUGUGCAGGAACUCGACAGGGUUUGAAGGAGCACAGGGCCCAGUUUACUUGCCUCGUCAGACACCGUCAUCCUCUGCCUAAAAGCUAACAUGCUGUCGAUGAAUCUCUGCUACAAGACCGGUUGCUUUGCCUCCCCCUCACGUGCAUUUGUCCCCCUGAAUUUUGUG